rnacentral:rRNA from 1 species
AUGGGGAGAGGAACUUGUUCCUCGAGUCGUUGAUUUCACACUGCCGAGAAAAGCCUCUAGCUAGAAUAACGGUGCCCGUACCGCAAACCGACACAGGUAGUCAAGAUGAGAAUUCUAAGGUGAGCGAGCGAACUCUCGUUAAGGAACUCGGCAAAAUGACCCCGUAACUUCGGGAGAAGGGGUGCUCUUUGAGGUUCACGCUUCGAAGAGCCGCAGUGAAUAGGCCCAAGCGACUGUUUAUCAAAAACACAGGUCUCUGCUAAACCGUAAGGUGACGUAUAGGGGCUGACGCCUGCCCGGUGCUGGAAGGUUAAGAGGAGUGGUUAGCGCAAGCGAAGCUACGAAUCGAAGCCCCAGUAAACGGCGGCCGUAACUAUAACGGUCCUAAGGUAGCGAAAUUCCUUGUCGGGUAAGUUCCGACCCGCACGAAAGGCGUAACGAUUUGGGCACUGUCUCAACGAGAGACUCGGUGAAAUCAUAGUACCGGUGAAGAUGCCGGUUACCCGCGACAGGACGGAAAGACCCCGUGGAGCUUUACUGUAGCCUGAUAUUGAAAUUCGGUACAGUUUGUACAGGAUAGGUAGGAGCCUUAGAAGCGUGAGCGCUAGCUUACGUGGAGGCAUUGGUGGGAUACUACCCUAAUUGUAUUGGAUUUCUAACCCGCAGCACUUAUCGUGCUGGGAGACAGUGUCAGGCGGGCAGUUUGACUGGGGCGGUCGCCUCCUAAAGAGUAACGGAGGCGCUCAAAGGUUCCCUCAGAAUGGUUGGAAAUCAUUCAUAGAGUGUAAAGGCAUAAGGGAGCUUGACUGCGAGACCUACAAGUCGAGCAGGGUCGAAAGACGGACUUAGUGAUCCGGUGGUUCCGCAUGGAAGGGCCAUCGCUCAACGGAUAAAAGCUACCCCGGGGAUAACAGGCUUAUCUCCCCCAAGAGUUCACAUCGACGGGGAGGUUUGGCACCUCGAUGUCGGCUCAUCGCAUCCUGGGGC